CCUACGGGUGGCAGCAGUGAGGAAUAUUGGUCAAUGGGAGAGAUCCUGAACCAGCCAAGCCGCGUGAGGGAAGACGGCCCUAUGGGUUGUAAACCUCUUUUGUCGGAGAACAAAACCCGGGACGUGUCCCGGACUGCGUGUCUCCGAAGACAAAGCAUCGGCUAACUCCGUGCCAGCAGCCGCGGUAAUACGGAGGAUGCGAGCGUUCUCCGGAUUUAUUGUGGUUAAAGGGUGCGUAGGCGGUCCGUUAAGUCAGCGGUAAAAUUGCGGGGCUAAACCCCGUCGCGCCGUUGAAACUGGCUGACGUGAGUGGGCGAGAAGUACGCGGAAUGCGCGGUGUAGCGGGGAAAUGCAGAGAGAGCGCGCAGAACUCCGAUUGCGAAGGCAGCGUACCGGCGCCAGACUGACGCUGAGGCACGAAAGCGUGGGGAUCGAACAGGAUUAGAUACCCCAGGAGUC
rnacentral:rRNA from 1 species